rnacentral:lncRNA from 1 species
GCCGCCGCUGCCAACCCGGAAGGAGCCCGGAGGGGCCCGGGCGGCCAGGGCGCCCCCGCCAGGAGGCCCGCCAGGUGUCCACCUGAGCCCCACGCCCUGCGCCGCGGGGCCCUUUUGGGGGCGGGGUGCCAGCUCCGAGGUGUCCUCCCACGGGCUGUAGACUGGGAAACUGAGGCCCGGGCCACGGUCCCAGACGCAGCCGGGACCCGAACCCACCUCACCUGAGCGAAUGAUAUCCGGGACUCAUCCUUUUUCGACACCUUUGCGGGAUCCAGCCCUCCAAGGAAAGCUUCCUGAGCAGUGCGCGCCACGUGUAUUGGGCACCUCACCGCGGCCACUUCACAUCCUAUCUCAGGUGGAGAAACUAAGCCACAGAAAGGAGCUGUCAUUUACCUAAAGCACCGUGGCAGGGGUUUGGCAGAGCCAGGAUUUGUACCCAGAUCGCCUGACUUCGGAGAGUAACAGCUCUUAACCACAGCACUUCGGUCUAUGCCUUGAUUUCACCAUAUGUAACAAGCAGCUGUGCCACUUUGCAUUCCCACCAGCAGCACGCAAGCGUUCGAAUUUCUCCGCACGCUCCCCAACAGGUCUCGCUCAUCACCAGGCUGGAGUACAGUGACAUGA